rnacentral:rRNA from 1 species
AUACGUAGGGGGCGAGCGUUGUCCGGAAUGAUUGGGCGUAAAGGGCGCGUAGGCGGCCCGGUAAGUCUGGAGUGAAAGUCCUGUUUUUAAGAUGGGAAUUGCUUUGGAUACUGUCGGGCUUGAGUGCAGGAGAGGUUAUCGGAAUUCCCGGUGUAGCGGUGAAAUGCGUAGAGAUCGGGAGGAACACCAGUGGCGAAGGCGGGUAACUGGACUUCAACUGACGCUGAGGCGCGAAAGUGUGGGGAGCAAACAGGAUUAGAUACCCUGGUAGUCCACACUGUAAACGAUGAAUGCUAGGUGUAAGAGGUAUCGACCCCUUUUGUGCCGGAGUCAACACAAUAAGCAAUCCGCCUGGGGAGUACGGUCGCAAGGUUGAAACUCAAAUGAAUUGACGGGG